rnacentral:lncRNA from 1 species
AUCAGCUAUAGCCGACCACCCUUAUUAGAUUCUCUCUCAUGAUAUCAAAAAUCACAAUCCAAAUCCAAUUAGGCAUGGAGAAAUUGGCAUGGAUCUAGAUGUGGCACAAAAGAUAAGGAUAGAGUCCUAGUCUGACUUGGACUGUUCAUUUCUAAUUCAAUUCUAAUCUAAAUCAAAUUUGGAUUGAAAUCAAUGAUAAAAAUAAAUUUAAUCUAUUUAAAAAUCUAAAUAUCUUAUCAAAAUUUUAAUCUAAUUAGAAAUUAAUCGAGUCCAAACCCUGAUCAAA